rnacentral:tRNA from 1 species
ACUCCGGUAGCCCAACGGCAGAGGCACCGGCCUUAAAAGCCGGCAAGUGCGGGUUCGAGUCCCGCUCGGAGUA